rnacentral:rRNA from 1 species
CCCCAGACUCCUACGGGAGGCAGCAGUGGGGAAUAUUGCACAAUGGGGGAAACCCUGAUGCAGCAACGCCGCGUGAGUGAAGAAGUAUUUCGGUAUGUAAAGCUCUAUCAGCAGGGAAGAGAAUGACGGUACCUGACUAAGAAGCCCCGGCUAACUACGUGCCAGCAGCCGCGGUAAUACGUAGGGGGCAAGCGUUAUCCGGAUUUACUGGGUGUAAAGGGAGCGUAGACGGCAGUGCAAGUCUGAAGUGAAGGGCGGGGGGGCAACACCCGAGCUGCUUUGGAAACUGUGCUGCUGGAGUGCAGGAGAGGCAAGUGGAAUUCCUAGUGUAGCGGUGAAAUGCGUAGAUAUUAGGAGGAACACCAGUGGCGAAGGCGGCUUGCUGGACUGUAACUGACGUUGAGGCUCGAAAGCGUGGGGAGCAAACAGGAUUAGAUACCCCUGUACAC